CUGAAAUCUGCUGGGGAACACAGACACCUGUCACUGCUCUGCAGCCUGCUACACGGGCACUGGGGGAACGGUCCACCCGGGAAGGUUAUUAACUGGUCUAUGAAGUAAACUGAGUGCUGACUACAAGAUCUGCAUAUGUUUGGUGUGCAGAAUCAGUCCGAAUGCAUCUCAGGGUCUUCUGAGAGAAGGGCGGAACUAUGUUGCAACCAGGAAAGGCAAUCAAUACCAGGGUGGAAAUGGGUGUCCCCUUGAUGCUAACACACCAUUACCCACAGUCCGUCAGAGUUAGUGGCAGACACUGACCAACUUACACAAGAAGGAAGAGAAGAGGAGGAGAUAAAGCACAACAAACUGCAAUGUGUCCCCCUUUCCAAAAUGUUGUGCUCUAUGCAGGUGCCUACCCCAAGUUAAAGUCCUGGUUGAGACACACGCUAUUAUGCUGCUGCAUUCUAUUAACAAUAUAAUUCUGGAUGUAUGUUGCAUUGCAGAUACAAAGAAAAACUAUUACAAAUUGUCCAAAAAUGUAUUUAUUAAAUAAAUGGUCUUUCAUUUUAUUGCAAAUGCCUGAGUGAUUGCAGAAUAAACUGAUUUAAAAUGUUUGCUGUCUUUAAAAGUUUAUGACACUUUAAUGUGCAAUAUUUUGACUUAUAACUAAUUUUACGAUCUGCAAUAUUUCCUCUGUAAUAAACUCUGUACUGGCUGUUAAAGCUUUCUGCUUGUGUCUGCUGGAUGUGGCCAAUCAUUCCUUAUAGUUGACACCUUCCAUACCCUUUAAUAUCAGUUUAGUGGAGAUUAAAACAGUGCAUAAAACUAGUGCCUUUGUAAAGGGGAAGAAUUACCCUCUCUUGCCAUGACUCAAUACCACUUUGAAUGCAGAACUUAGUUUAUUAUUCAUUUACAAUUGUAAAAACUAUUUUAUCAAACAUUGUGGUUUGGUAUGUGUAUUUCUGGGUUAAUUAAUUGUUAGGGGCAUUUUUGGUCCUGCCUUGCUCAUUUCUUGUGCAGUGCGUUGAGCAGAGACGGAACUAGGUGGGGGCGGGCCCUGGGGCGGGCCGUGCGGCCGGGCCCAGCCCCCAACCUCUUCCGUGCAGCGCUGCAGCCGAUGCAGUGGGGCGCGUGACUGCCGGGGGGCCCUGCGGGGGUGCGGGCCCUGGCCCAAUUGCACCCCCUGCUCCCCCGGUAGUUACGCCACUGGCUUUGAGUAUUGUACUGCUGUGGAUUAUACUGUACAUAGUAUAUGCAUGAUUGUGAGACAUUUCGCUUUUAAAAUCACUUGUAUUUGAAUGUAUAUAUUAUAUAUUUCUAUGUUUCUCUAUACAGGUAUGGGAUCCAUUAUAUGAA